UGAGGAAUAUUGGUCAAUGGGCGCAAGCCUGAACCAGCCAUCCCGCGUGAAGGAAGAAGGCGCUAUGCGUUGUAAACUUCUUUUCCAGGGGGAGAAUUUUUCCGUCGUGACGGGAAUUGACGGUACGCUGGGAAUAAGCAUCGGCUAACUCCGUGCCAGCAGCCGCGGUAAUACGGAGGAUGGGAGGGUUAUCCGGAUUUGUUGGGUUUAAAGGGUGGGUAGGCUGAUUGAUAAGUCAGUGGUGAAAGGCUGCUGCUUAGCUGUAGACUUGUCGUUGAUACUGUCAGUCUGGAGUGUAGUGAAGACAAGCAGAAUGUGUAAUGUAGCGGUGAAAUGCUUAGAUAUGACACAGAACACCGAUGGCGAAGGCUGCUUGCUGGGCCAUCACUGACGCUCAUGCACGAAAGCGUGAGGAUCGAACA
rnacentral:rRNA from 1 species